GACGAACGCUGGCGGCGUGCUUAACACAUGCAAGUCGAACGGAAAGGCCCUGCUUUUGUGGGGUGCUCGAGUGGCGAACGGGUGAGUAACACGUGAGUAACCUGCCCUGGACUUUGGGAUAACUUCAGGAAACUGGGGCUAAUACCGGAUAGGAGCUCCUGCUGCAGGGGGGGGGUGGGAAAGUUUCGGCGGUUGGGGAUGGACUCGCGGCUUAUCAGCUUGUUGGUGGGGUAGUGGCUUACCAAGGCUUUGACGGGUAGCCGGCCUGAGAGGGUGACCGGCCACAUUGGGACUGAGAUACGGCCCAGACUCCUACGGGAGGCAGCAGUGGGGAAUAUUGCACAAUGGGCGGAAGCCUGAUGCAGCAACGCCGCGUGCGGGAUGACGGCCUUCGGGUUGUAAACCGCUUUCGCCUGUGACGAAGCGUGAGUGACGGUAAUGGGUAAAGAAGCACCGGCUAACUACGUG
rnacentral:rRNA from 1 species